GCCGGGGUGGCGGAACUGGUAGACGCGCUGGAUUCAGGAUCCAGUGGGAGAUAAUCCCGUGCGGGUUCAAAUCCCGCCCCCGGCA
rnacentral:tRNA from 1 species